AAGUUCUAAAGAGUUGAGCAUCAAAAACAAAAGGUCAUGCCAUCUCAAAUUCCCUGCCAUUCAUCAAUCAAGUACUAUAAUUAUUGUCAGAAACAAACCCUCAAACUGCAAAUGCCCAAAACAAAGGGGUAACAACCUUUUGCAUAAACAGAGCUCAUUUUGGAACAUUAGGAAAGGCUGUUUAGAAAGAUACUAUAGAGUUUAUCCAGAUUGAUUCAGGUAAGUUCACAUUUAAACAGUCUCCCCACUGCCUGAUUCUUCUUCCAUUGCCUUUAAACUUUCGGCCAUCAUUCUGUCUCUGUUUUGUGUUUGUCUUUCUACCGCAACCAUAUACAGGCUGAUUGCACUUCCAAUAGCACAGGCCCAAAGAAUCCUCAUUGACCAUUUAUCCCCAAUAACUCCUCUGGUUCCCAUUCCUAUCUUUUGCUCGAGAAACACAGCUCAAGAUU
rnacentral:misc_RNA from 1 species